rnacentral:rRNA from 1 species
AGUGAACGCUGGCGGUAGGCCUAACACAUGCAAGUCGAACGGCAGCACAGUAAGAGCUUGCUCUUACGGGUGGCGAGUGGCGGACGGGUGAGGAAUACAUCGGAAUCUACUUUUUCGUGGGGGAUAACGUAGGGAAACUUACGCUAAUACCGCAUACGACCUACGGGUGAAAGCAGGGGAUCUUCGGACCUUGCGCGAUUGAAUGAGCCGAUGUCGGAUUAGCUAGUUGGCGGGGUAAAGGCCCACCAAGGCGACGAUCCGUAGCUGGUCUGAGAGGAUGAACAGCCACACUGGAACUGAGACACGGUCCAGACACCUACGGGAGGCAGCAGUCGGGAAUAUUGGACAAUGGGGACAAGCCUGAUCCAGCCAUACCGCGUGAGUGAAGAAGGCCUUCGGGUUGUAAAGCCCUUUUGUUGGGAAAGAAAAGCAGCAGGUUAAUACCGCGCUGUUCUGACGGUACCCAAAGAAUAAGCACCGGCUAACUUCGUG